UUAGUCUCGGAUUCUAUGCGUAUUAAUUACAUAGAAGAUUAGCAUGACCCCUAUACAAGGAUGACACACAUAAAUCGAGAAAUGGUCCAAAUUUUG
rnacentral:snRNA from 1 species